UACGUAGGGGGCAAGCGUUAUCCGGAUUUACUGGGUGUAAAGGGAGCGUAGACGGCUGUGCAAGUCAGAAGUGAAAGCCCGGGGCUCAACCCCGGGACUGCUUUUGAAACUGCGGAGCUGGAGUGCAGGAGAGGUAAGCGGAAUUCCUGGUGUAGCGGUGAAAUGCGUAGAUAUCAGGAGGAACACCAGUGGCGAAGGCGGCUUACUGGACUGUAACUGACGUUGAGGCUCGAAAGCGUGGGGAGCAAACAGG
rnacentral:rRNA from 1 species